GAAUAUGAUGAAUCAUAUUGUCGCCCCAGGCUUAAUUUGCAUCAAAAAAUUAGAUGCAACGUGGUGAUUGACAAUUCAAAUUCUGAUUC